rnacentral:rRNA from 1 species
AUGGAACAAUGUAGGCAAGGGAAGUCGGCAAAACGGAUCCGUAACUUCGGGAAAAGGAUUGGCUCUGAGGACUGGGCUCGGGGGUCCCGGCCCCGAACCCGUCAGCUGUCGGUUGAUUGCUCGAGCUGCUCACGCGGCGAGAGCGGGUCGCCGUGUGCCGGCCGGGGGACGGAAAAGGGAAUCGCCCCUUCGAGGGCUUUCCCCGAGCAUGAAACAGUCGACUCAGAACUGGUACGGACAAGGGGAAUCCGACUAUUUAAUUAA